CCUUCUGAUGACAGAGAGGUGAUUCAGAGGGGUUAGUAUAGAACUGCUAGUGUAGGGACCUGCUCAGAUAUAGUCUCUCCUUCUGAUGACAGAAAGGUGAUUCAGAGAAGAUGGCUGAAGAUUCAGAGGGGUCGCUGUGGAUUCAGAGAGGAUGGCUGUGGAUUUAGAGAGGGUGGCUAUAGAUUCAGAGGGGUGGCUAUAGAUUCAGAGGGGUGGCUAUAGAUUCAGAGGGGUGGCUAUAGAUUCAGAGGGGUGGCUAUAGGUUCAGAGGGGUGUCUAUAGAUUCAGAGGGGUGGCUAUAGGUUCAGAGGGGUGGCUAUAGAUUCAGAGGGGUGGCUAUAGAUUCAGAGGGGUGGCUAUAGA
ensembl:lncRNA